rnacentral:rRNA from 1 species
GACGUAGGAGGCGAGCGUUAUCCGGAUUCACUGGGCGUAAAGCGCAUGUAGGCGGUUGGACAAGUCGUGUGUUAAAGCCCCUGGCUCAACUGGGGGAGGUCGAUGCGAGACUGUGCGACUUGAGGGCAAGAGAGGCACGUGGAACUCCCGGUGUAGCGGUGGAAUGCGUAGAGAUCGGGAAGAACACCAGUGGCGAAGGCGACGUGCUGGGUUGCACCUGACGCUGAGAUGCGAAAGUGUGGGGAGCAAACAGG